AACAAGGCAAUGUUCCCAUUGGCUACAAUUUCACCUAAAACAGCUUGUGAUUGGUCAGGGAGUGUGGGCCGCCUGUAUAUAAAGCCUGGUAGACGGACGUCAACACAGAACACUGGCACGCGACGACGCUACAACAUCUUCUGUACUAACACGCUCAUCAAACGACCAUGAACCCUAUACGAGUUGACCGAGGUAGCUGCAGUGUCACCACAAGAACAAUUCGGAGCGUCUACAAAAUUUACCUGUUGCUGGAGAACUCGAUCGCAACAAUUCCUUUCCUACUCCAGUUCUACCGCGGUUAGUGGAUCCUUCCCACAGCAUUACAGUGAGUUUCCUAGUGUUAAACUACAAGAAAUUGGUCUCCAAAAAAACUGCUUUGUUAUUUCUUCUACCCCAUUUGUGGGUCAUGAGCUGUAUUGCAUUACAUUCUGUGCAAGUAAAGUCAAACUUGUACAUAUUGAAUAUCCAGUAUAUGUAACCAAUAAAGUUUUUCUAUUUAUGGAAUAAUCCAAA
rnacentral:lncRNA from 1 species